rnacentral:rRNA from 1 species
GACGGAGGGUGCAAGCGUUAUCCGAAUUCACUGGGUUUAAAGCGUACGUAGGUGGCUAGAUAAGUCAGUGGUGAAAACUAACAGCUCAACUGUUAGCGUGCCAUUGAUACUGUUUAGCUUGAGUAUAGUAGAGGUAGGCGGAAUUUUACAUGUAGCGGUGAAAUGCACAGAUAUGUAAAGGAACACCGAUAACGAAGGUAGCUUACUGGGCUAUUACUGACGCUGAGGUACGAAAGCGUGGGGAGCAAACAGG